rnacentral:rRNA from 1 species
UAGGGAAUCUUCCACAAUGGGCGCAAGCCUGAUGGAGCAACACCGCGUGAGUGAAGAAGGGUUUCGGCUCGUAAAGCUCUGUUGUUAAAGAAGAACACGUAUGAGAGUAACUGUUCACACGUUGACGGUAUUUAACCAGAAAGUCACGGCUAACUACGUACCAG